rnacentral:rRNA from 1 species
UACGAAGGGGGCUAGCGUUGUUCGGAAUUACUGGGCGUAAAGCGCACGUAGGCGGAUUUGUAAGUCAGGGGUGAAAUCCCGGAGCUCAACUCCGGAACUGCCUUUGAUACUGGCAAUCUAGAGACUGGAAGAGGUUAGUGGAAUUCCCAGUGUAGAGGUGAAAUUCGUAGAUAUUGGGAAGAACACCAGUGGCGAAGGCGGCUAACUGGUCCAGUACUGACGCUGAGGUGCGAAAGCGUGGGGAGCAAACAGG